CAAUAAAGAGGAAAGAAAUCUGAAGGAAAAUGGAUGGAUCUGGAGAUCAUCAUGUUGCAUAAAGUAAGGCAGACUCAGGAAGACAAAUAUAAUAUGUUCUUUCUAAUAUGCAAAACCUACAAAAGAAGACAAGGAGAAGAAGGGACUCAGGAGGAGGGGUGUAAGGGCAGGUAAUGGGGGGAUGCAGAUGAUCAUAAUUGAUUGACCCCCCCCAAAGAAUAUGAAACCAGAGGGGAGACCUGGGCAAGGAGGAUGGGGGUGAACACGACCGAGGUGAGUUCUGCAUAAGUAUGAAUCUGUCCAGAUGAAACCACUAAUCUGUAUAGCCACUACGCACUAAUAAAAUAAAAGUGUGAAAGAGAAGAACUCACCCGUUACAGGUGAACAGCUCGGCAUUUUAGUGUGUUCACUGAGUUGUGCAAUCAUCAUCGCCAUCUAAAGCCACAACAGUAAGAACCUGCCUGCCGGGAAGUCCUGCACCCACCACCUUCAGUCACCGGUUCCCCUGUCCCAGCCCUCAGCAGCUACUCAUCUCCUCUCUGUGCAUUCACACGUGCACAUUCUGCACAUGGAAUCGGAGUUUGACUGUAAGGGCAAAGCAGCUUGUGACUUUUUCACUUAGCAAACUAUGCUCAAGCUUCAUCCGCGUUGUAGCACGUUCAUCCCAGUAGGUACAAAGCGGUAGCUUAUUGUGGCUUAAAUUUGCAUUUCCCUGACGGAGAAAGACGUUGUGCAGCUUUCCAUGUGCUUAUUUGGAAGCUCAAAUUCUCAUUUGUACAUUAUGACGAGAUCUUUGUGGAGGAGUGGCUAAAGUUUUCUGAAAUAUACUCUAUGUGAACAUUUUGUAUGGUCACCAGAACUUCUAUUCAACUUGCUGACUGACCUGACCUCAACGUCUCACUGCUACUACUCUUCCCAGCCUCUGGGGCAGAAAAUCAAAUCAAGCCUAUUGAAAGCUGCAGUGUAAUUGAAAAACCAAACAACCAAAAAACAAAACAAAACAAUAACAAAAUAAACCAAACUCCCCAAAGCUACCAACUUUUUAUAAAGACUUGGUUGCUUGUUUUCCUGCCAUGUAGCUCCAUGGGAGAAGAAAUCAUCACAUUCCCCUGUGCAGUGUAAAUGUUACUUCUGGGCACAUCUUUCGUCAGUACUUUUGUGGUGAGCCACCGUGACUAGAUAGCGUGUAUUGAAAUCUUUGGUUUUCCUGGUACAUUUCAAAGAAAAAGGGACUCCUGCAAAACAGCUGCUCAGAAUUUUCAGUUACUUCUUACUCUAAUGCUGCCUUUUCAGGUGCCUCACCGGUUUCCCAGGAAAAACUGCAGCAUGUAUUUUAUAACACUGCCCUAGGUCAUUGGUUUUUUGAAGAUCUGCCAAAUUUCCCAAGUCACCAAAACAAAUCUCUGGUUCAACCUGUAAACCUUGAGUUUCUUGCAUUUUCAAAAGACUUAAAUCUUUUCUCUUCAACCACCUACAUUCCAGGCAGUGUUACAGGUCAUUCUGAGAGCACAUCCCAUGCCAAUGUGGUGCCUCAUGGUGUCACUUAACCUUGUGGCAAAACACUGUGCUAGACAAUGAGUUUUAGCUGCUUUU